rnacentral:rRNA from 1 species
ACGGGGUAAACCUGAGAAACCCGAAUGGUCGAAUGGGGAAAUUCAUUCGCGUCUCGGCGCCGGCGAGGGACGGUUACGUGACGGACGGCGUUCGCGUCGCUCGCACUUUCCGUUUUUCGAACCGGCGUCKAACGCGUGCACUUUUCCCCUAGUAGGACGUCGCGAUCCGUUGGGUAUCGGUCUAAGGCCCGCGGUGGAGCCCGCGCGGACGUUUCGGCGUUCCGCUCGAACCCGCGGUGUCCCGGCCGAUUCGCUCGACGGUAUAAAGAUGGCGCGGGGCCGCAACUCAGUUUGCGUUCGGCCUACGGCAAGCACGUUCGGUGCGGUGGAGAUCGGACUUCGUGCCGGUCCUACCCACCGGCGACUGUUGGCCGUGGUGUUCUCGAACAGACCUCGUCGAAACGCCGAUCUGCGACGCUAUAGCUUUGGGUAAUUUCAGGACCCGUCUUGAAACACGGACCAAGGAGUCUAGCAUGUGCGCGAGUCAUUGGGACAUAACUAAACCUAAAGGCGUAAUGAAAGUAAAGAUCCGCCUCGCGCGGAUCGAGGGAGGAUGGGCGGUUUACUCUCGAGUGGCCGCUCCGCACUCCCGGGGCGUCUCGUUCUCAUCGCGAGAAGAGGCGCACCAAGAGCGUACACGCUGGGACCCGAAAGAUGGUGAACUAUGCCUGGUCAGGACGAAGUCAGGGGAAACCCUGAUGGAGGUCCGUAGCGAUUCUGACGUGCAAAUCGAUCGUCGGAACUGGGUAUAGGGGCGAAAGASUAAUCG